CACCGCGGUUAUACGAGAGGCUCAAGUUGAUAAACACCGGCGUAAAAAGUGGUUAGCACACCAGUCAGCUAAAGCUAAACACCUUCAAAGCUGUUAUACCCACACGAAGACAGGAAGUACUUCUACGAAAGUGGCUUUAAACAAUGCUAUCCACGAAAGCUAGGAAA
rnacentral:rRNA from 1 species